AUUGAACGCUGGCGGCAUGCCUUACAAAGGAAAGUCGAACGGCAGCACGGGUGCUUGACCCUGGUGGCGAGUGGCGAACGGGUGAGUAAUACAUCGGAACAUGUCCGGUGGUGGGGGAUAGCCCGGCGAAAGCGGGAUUAAUACCGCAUACGAUCUCCGGUGGAAAGCGGGGGACCUUGGGGCCUCGCGCUAUAGGGUUGGCCGAUGGCUGAUUAGCUAGUUGGUGGGGUAAAGGCCUACCAAGGCGACGAUCAGUAGCUGGUCUGAGAGGACGACCAGCCACACUGGGACUGAGACACGGCCCAGACUCCUACGGGAGGCAGCAGUGGGGAAUUUUGGACAAUGGGCGAAAGCCUGAUCCAGCAAUGCCGCGUGUGUGAAGAAGGCCUUCGGGUUGUAAAGCACUUUUGUCCGGAAAGAAAUCCUUGGCCCUAAUACGGUCGGGGGAUGACGGUACCGGAAGAAUAAGCACCGGCUAACUACGUG
rnacentral:rRNA from 1 species